UGAUGGGAGUCGUUGCCCUGCCGUACCUGCCAUCCCUCGCGCCGCUAUUUCCCCGGCCCACUGAUUUACAAUGGCGCCUGGGGGUGCUCGCGAGGGAGCCGGGUGGGGAACGGCUGUCUCCGCCGGCACCACUGCCACCCCCGGCACCGCUGCUGCUGCUGAGGUACUGUGUCAUGUCUCCCGGCACCGCUGCCCGCCUCGACUUUUGGGCUCAGGCAGACACAUACAGAGUACCCCAAGCGUUUCCUUCUCCAUAGCACGGAACUAGCGGUCAGAGUGCAACUCGGGCGGAGAUCUCUUAAGGAGACGUUUCGAUUGGAUCAGCUCAGGGAAGGGAGGUCUCCCCAAUAGGCUGACGUGAACGAAUGGGGCGGGAUGCAAAGCCAAGAGCUCCAUCGGAUUGGCAGUUGAGACAGACGACAUUCAAAUCGAACAACAGAGCGCCCGCCUGAUUAUGUAAUUCGCUUCUGGCUCCUUCCAGCGGGAAAGGGAAAAACGUUACUGGGGCAUCUUUGGCACCUUCGUCUCGCGAUGCCUGUGAUACGUUAACAGGGAGGCGCACGGGUGGACGCAGGUUUGGCGUUUUCGCGUUCCAUUGUGUUGGAAGGCGUCUUCACAGGCUCCUGCAGGUGCAAUAUGGCCAGACGAGCAGCAAGGACUUCAAAUCUCUUCAAAAUCUCUGCUCUUUGUGUGUGAGUACAGAGCAAAACAGAUGCAGUGAAGCAUCCUGUCACUUUCUGCCAGUUACAGUAAGGCCUGGUUCCGUGAACAGCUUCCUCUUGCUGAGCUCAAGAACAUCUCCUUUUCCACAAACAGCAGCCAAAUUCUGAAAGCGGGGACAGAAGCCUAACAGAUUGCAGAAUCCAUCAGGCCUCCUUUUCUAUUCAAGCACAGCAAGCAAAAAAUGCAGCUUCCAGCAGAAGUGGCUCCCUGCCCUCGUGCUCACCUUUCUCUUUUUAUGCGUGCUUUCCUUUUCUGGGAACAGACAGCUGCAAUGACAGGUCCAGGGAGUUUCUUGAGAACUGGAUUCUGGCAGACUCACUUCUGUGGGAUGCUUGACUUGCCCUCCCACACUUUCCUCAUUUCUCAGAAAAGCCUGGAAACUAAAAUGUUGAAAAGAGGGGGCAGUGGAAGUUGCUCAGACCAUGUGCAUGUCUCAGCAGUCCAGGAAGAGAAAUGAGUAAGUGGCUUGACAUAUUUAAGUGCCUCUGGCUGUGUCUGUCCAUGCAGUCUAGGAAGAAACAGCCAGAGCUACUGCAGACAAGAGUUAACAAGUAAGUGUUGUUUUCAUAUCAUUGUUUGUAAUUAUGUGUUGUGAACAAGAGACGUUCCUCUCAAGGCAGGGUGGGGAAGAGGAGAGAAACUGC